UGUUGGCAUGAAGGAAAACCAACUUUUACUUUUGUAUAACGGUAUAACCCAGCCAAGGAUGAAUAACAUUUAAUUUUUGAAAAUCUUAAAAAUCAACAACGGCUCUACGACCCACUACUUUCUUCUUUGUAUAAGUUACGCUUUUUUGUUGCUUGUGAACCAGUUUCAUUUCUCGCUAGUUUUGGCUUUCAAUUACAGAGAUUUUGUGUUCUUUGUUGGGAUUCAGAGAGUCACGGAUAUGGCGUUUUUCGCGGAUGAUGUGUACCUUUUGGCUACUGUGAGUGUGGAGGGGCGAGUUUAUGUUUGGAAGAUAUGUGAAGGUCCAGAUGAACAAGAUAAGCCACAAAUUACAGGCUUUCUUUGUCAGUCAAUUCCACUCUCUCUCUACUUUAUUGGUGUAUUUACGUUUGUGGGUGGGCUUAGUUUCAUGUAAUUUCGAUCUUCUGCAUCUGGGUUUUGUUAUGCAUAUGUACGGCGAUUGUGUUUUGAAUCUUUGGUUGUGUAUUUUUUUUCUUACACUAAUCUCUCUCUUCAAUAUACAUCAUGAAAUGUUGAACAAAAAUCAGUUUGAUUAAUUCUUGAUUUUGGUUUUGAUUUUCGAUUACGUGUGUUUUGAAAUUUAUGCCUAUGCUCUCUUGCUUGCUUUCUUUUUCAAUCAAUUCCACUCUCUCUCUACUUUAUUUGUUAUGUUUUAUUUAAUCGUUUAAUUUAUAUUUCUUGUUUAAUUCACCCCUCUGAUUGUGAUUUAAAUUCUGCAUUAAACAGAAGAUUUGAUAUCAGCGCUUUAAUCAAACAGAAGAUUUUGUUUUUGUCUCUUUGUAGUGCCCUUGUGGUGUACAUUUCUCUUUGAAAUAGUUGGGCAUCCUCCUUCGUAGGUUGUCCAUUUCAUUUCAUUUCAUUUUCUCAGUAAUCAAGCAAGAGGGUCUUCAAAAUUUUCUUUCUACUCAGUAAAUGUCACACUUUCAACUAUUAUUUGUUGCAGAUAUUGUAUGAAGUGUAGAUUAAUAUUAAUAAAAUAUCAUUUCCCUGAAAAUGGAGUGUGCAUUUGUGGGCAAGUUCUGUAUACAUUGUUGGUGAAUUCUAGGAGGCUUAAGAUUAAGAGAAGAAUGGAAAUGAGAACUCACAGCAAGUUUUACGCCUCUAAAUUCAAGAUUACAUCAGUGCUUUCUUAAGCAAAUCAUAAUCCUUCUUUGCAGGUAGCUACUGAAAAACAGGGAAGUCCAGCUGGUUUUGGUCUUGGAGAAUGGGUUUGGCCUUCUCCUGGGGAUGAAAUCCCAUUUUGGAUGAACAAAUUUCCCUCAACAAAUGUGAGCCCAGAAGUUUCAGCUGACAUAGAGAAGGACUCCAAUCUCUUGCACAUUAUUCAUAUUACAGCUGAAAUGGCACCUAUAGCAAAAGUUGGUGGUCUUGGUGAUGUUGUAAGUGGAUUGGCCUGUCCAUGUUUGUCACGCGGCCAUGCAAUAGAUGUAAUGCUCCCUUUCUAUGAGUGCAUUCAGAUACAGGAGAUCAAUGAUUUGGAAUUGAUCAAUACAUAUAACUCUUAUCAUGAUGGUGAUUGGUGGUAAAAGCCUAUCGUGGGUUAGUCUCAGGAAUCUCGGUGAUUUUUAUUGAAUCAUCAAAUCAGUUCUUCAAGGGGCAAUAUUUCUAUGGGGGUUCAUACAAUGAGCUGGAGGCAUAUGUAUUUUUCAGUCGUGCUUGCCUAGAAUGGAUGCAGGUGACUGGAGUUCAUCCUGAUAUCAUUCAUGUCCAUGAGUGGCAGACAGGUGCUUUGCCCCUGCUUUACUGGGAUAUGUAUCACCUUCUUUCGCUCAAGAAACCGAGAAUAGUGUUGACAAUCCACAACAUGGAGCAUUAUGAGGAAUGCAGAAAAGAGCAACUCAGUAAAUGUGGUCUUGAUGGAUCUAUAUAUGGAACUGAGGACAAGGCAGUCGAUGAUUGAACAAUUGGCCACAAUCCUAAGAGACUGAGCCUAUUGAAGGGUGGAAUUGUGUAAGCAGUGUUGUAAUAACCUCCAUCUAACCAUACACGUCUCAUCGUCUCCAUUUUGCCGGUAGAACCUCACAAAGAUCGACGUCAUUGGCCGCCGCACACACAGUGUUUCUUUCCAGCAGAUCCAACUCCGAUCUCCUUUUUCGGCGAGAAUCAGUUCUCACCGUCGGCACCAGCUUGCUCAGAAAAUGACGACGAGCAAAACUCACUAAGGUUCUAUUGCCUUUGAUGUCAAACUUCGACAGCUUCACCAGAUUUUGCCGCUAUCCUCGCCGGAUCUUCUGCUCCGAUCUGUUUGUUUGAUCCGUGUUACCUUUGGUUCUGGUUUCCGGUCAAAUUUGCUGGUUAUCAUGGGUACUUCUAGCUCAAACUCCACUUCCGUUGGUUUUUCUUUCUUGUCUCUCUAACUAAUCACCACUGAUAAGUUGAUUGGGAGUGCGAAUUAUUCUUCUUGGGUUGCCUUUGUCGAGUUAUGGUGUACGGGUCAAGGUCUAGAGGAUCACUUGACCACAAAGGCUAUUGACAUCACAUCAGAUAAGUCUUCCUGGAUCAAAACUGAUGCUUUAUUGUGUAAUCUAUUAUGGCAAUCAAUUGACACUAAUUUGCAUCCCAUUUACAAAACAUACUGCACAUGUUGUGAGAUAUGGAGUUAGGCUAAACUACUAUAUACCAAUGAUAUUCAACGCUUGUAUUCUGUUGUGUCCAAUCUCAUUCAUCUAAAACAAUAGGAUAUGAGUGUCAAAUUUUCUUGGUAAGAUGGUCUCCCUUAAGGCAAAGGACAAUCUUCUCUUACCCGCUGGUAAAUCUAUUGUAGAAGAUCUAGCACAAUGAGAUAAAUUCUUCAUGGUUUUAACCCUUGCUGCUAUUAGUCCUGAUUUCACUCCUGUUCGAGAUCAGAUUUUAGCUAGCGCUACUGUGCCGUCUCUUGAUGCAGUAUUUGCUAGGUUACUUCGGGUUUCAUCCCCAAGUACUAUCCCCAGUUCUACCGCUGUUGACUCUUUUACUCUGGCUUCUCAGUCUCAAACUACUUAUAAAGGAAAGUAGGGAGAUCAUGGUUGAAGCGGACGACCGAACUGUAGUUAUUGUCAUCGUUCAGGGCAUACUAGAGAAAAAUGUUACAAAUUACAUGGUUGCCCUUUUCAGACCGCUAAUGUUGCUUAGGCUGACCUUUGUUCUAACUCUUUUGAAGGACACAUUCAGUCAUCAUUAACUCUCAUUGAGGCUGAUUAUGAAGAGUACCUCUAAUUCCAGGCAAAUAAGCAGUCUUCUUCAUCUAUUGCCUCUAUCGCUCAAUCGGGUAAUUCAGUUGCAUGCCUUACUCAAUCUUCUUCUCUUGGACCUUGGGUUCUUGACUCGGGUGCCGCUGAUCACAUUUCUGGAUCGAGGCGCGGGAUAGAUGAUUAGCACAGGACAUGAGUCACAAGGCCUCUAUCAUCUCCAUCUAUCAUCUAUAGCAUGCACUGUCAUUGAAUCUCCAACACUCCUUCAUAAUCGUUUGGGUCAUCCCAGUUUAGUAAAGCUUAAAAAGAUGCAUCUUGGUCUAUUUAAUUUAUCGUCUUUAAAUUGUGAGUCAUCUCAGCUUGGAAAACAUUCUCGUAGCACCUUUCCAAAGCGUGUUAAUAAACGGGAUGCGUCCCUUUUUGAGUUAGUUCAUUCAGAUGUGUGGGGACCUUGUCGUGCGUCAUUUAUUUUAGGUUUUCAGUACUUUGUUACCUUUAUUGAUGAUUACUCAUGUUGUACUUGGUUAUUCCUAAUGAAAACUCGUUCCGUGUUAUUUUCCAUCUUUGAAUCUUUUUGUGCGGAAAUUAAGACUCAAUUUAAUUCUGUUAUUAGAGUAUUACGUACUCGCGAGUAUAUCUCUGAUCUGUUUACUAAAUUCAUGUCUUCUUAGGGAAUCCUUCAUUAGUCCUCUUAUGCUUAUACCCUACAACAAAAUGGGGUUAUUGAGCAUAAAAACAGACAUCUCAUUGAAACUGCUUGUACCUUACUUUUACAUAAUAAAGUCCCUUUUCGUUUUUGGGCAAAUGUUGUUUUGACCACCUGUUUCUUAAUAAUCGGAUGCUUUUUUUUGUCCUCAACGACAAGGUACCUCAUUCCAUUUUAUUUCCUGAUCAAUCGUUGUAUUCUAUCCCUCCUUGUGUCUUUGGGUGCACAUGCUUUGUCCAUGUUUUCCUUCCUGAUUAGGACAAACUGGCAGCUAAAUCUACUAAGUGUAUUUUCUUAGGGUAUUCACGUCUUCAGAAAGGAUAUAAGUGUUAUUCUCCAUUAACACAUCACUAUUCUCUCUCUGUUGAUGUUACGUUUUUUGAGUUGUCUCCAUUCUUUUCUUCUUCUACCAUAGAUUGUGAUUCAAUUACCACAAUCCUUCCCAUAUCGUACAUAACCAAUCUUCCAAAGUCUGUCAUAGUCCCCCAAUCUUCUACUACCGAGUCUCCCAUUACAAAUCAUAGUCUUGUUCCAUUUACAGGCACUAUUCUUGAUCUGGCUAGUGCCCUUGAGGCUCCUAUCGAUGGCAGUCCUGCUCCUAAUUCCUCCAAUGCCACAGUUCUCUCCUGAUGAUCAGUUUCCCAUUGCCAUUCGUAAAGGUAUGCGGUCUACUCGCAACCCUCAUUUGAUCUAUAAUUUUUUAAGUUAUCAGCGUUUAUAUUAUGCAUUUGUGUCCCACACUUUCUUCUGUUUCUGUCCCUUCAAAUGUUCAUGAGGCACUCUCUGAUCCCGGAUGACGUCAGGCAAUGAUUGAUGAGAUGACUGCUUUGCUUUAUAAUCACACAUGGGAGUUCGUUCCAUUAUCUCUAGGACAUUCGACUGUUGGGUGUCACUAGAUUUAUACGGUCAAAGUUGGUCUUGAUGGUCAGGUUGAUCGCUUAAAGUCCCGAUUAGUUGCCAAGGGCUACACUCAUAUAUGGGAUGAAUUAUUUUGAUACUUUUUCCUCGGUUGCUAAGAUGUCUUAUGUCCGCUUAUUCUUAGCAAUGACUGCUAUUCAACAUUGGCCUCUGCAUCAAUUGGAUAUUAAGAAUGUCUUUCUUCAUGGUGAACUUCAGGAAGACAUUUAUAUGGAGCAACCUCUUGGGUUUGUUGCUUAGGGGGAGUAUGCCUUGAUAUGCAAACUUCGUCGUUCUUUGUAUGGUUUGAAACAGUCUCCUCGUGCCUGGUUUGGAUGAUUCAGUACUGUUGUCCAAGAGUUUGGUAUGAUUCGGUGCGAGUUUGAUCAUUCUGUCUUUUAUAGACAUACAUCACUAAGACAAUGUAUCUAUCUAGUUGUUUAUGUUGAUGAUAUUGUGUCAUUACAGGGAGUGAUCAAGAUGAUAUUGAACAAUUGAAGAAGCAUUUAUUCAGACACUUUUAGACCAAAGAUUUAGGACUUCUUAAAUACUUCCUUGGAAUAGAAGUUGCUCAGUCCAAAUCUGGUAUGGUUAUCUCUCAGAGAGAGUAUGCACUAGAUAUUCUUGAAGAAACAUGAAUGUCCAAUUGCAGACCAAUAGACUCUCUUAUAGAUCCUAAUUUAAAACUCUCACCUGGACAAGGGGAGUCGCUGACUGAUCUUGGAAGAUACUAAAGACUGGUUGUAAACUUAAUUAUCUCACUAUCGCACGACUUGAUAUUUCCUUUUCUGUUAGUGUUGUAAGUCAGUUCCUACAGUCUCCAUGCAGUUGUUCAGAUUUUAAGGUAUAUAAAGGGUGCACCAGACAAAGGCUUGUUAUAUGAGAAUAGGGGUAAUUCACAUAUUAUUGGAUAUUCUAAUGCUGAUUGGGCAGGGUCUCCAUCUGAUAAACGUUCUAUUUUUGGUUUUUGUGUUCUUAUUGGAGGAAACCUAGUGUCUUGGAAAACUAAGAAGCAAACUGUUGUUGCUCGAUCAAGCUCAGAAGCUAAAUACUAUGCAAUGGCCUUAGGUACUUGUGAGCUCAUUUGGUUAAAACAACUUAUCAAAAAGUUGAAAUUUGAAGAAGUGUCACAAAUGAAGUUACUCUUUGAUAAUCAAGCUGCUUUCCAUAUUGUCUCUAAUCUAGUAUUUCAUGAGAGGACUAAACACAUAGAAAUUAAUUGUCAUUUUAUUCGGAAAAAAGUUCUAUCUGGAUGUAUUACCACUAGUCAAGUCAGUUCCAACUACUAGUUAGUAGACAUCCUCACUAAAUCUCUCAGGGGUUCGCGUGUUGAUUUUAUCUGUAGCAAGCUUGACACAUAUGACUUAUAUAUGACUUAUAUGCUCUAGCUUGAGGGAGAGUGUUGAAGUGUAUAAUUCUAUAUUAAGAUAUUAAGAUUGUAAUCAAUAUAUAUUAAGAACAAAAUUUGUAAAA